GGGCGGGACACGUGUUAUCCUGUCUGAAUAUGGGGGGACCAUCCUCCAAGGCUAAAUACUCCUGACUGACCGAUAGUGAACCAGUACCGUGAGGGAAAGGCGAAAAGAACCCCUGUGAGGGGAGUGAAAUAGAACCUGAAACCGUGUACGUACAAGCAGUAGGAGCACCUUCGUGGUGUGACUGCGUACCUUUUGUAUAAUGGGUCAGCGACUUAUAUUCAGUGGCAAGGUUAACCAUCUAGGGGAGCCGUAGGGAAACCGAGUCUUAACUGGGCGCCAUAGUCUCUGGAUAUAGACCCGAAACCGAGUGAUCUAGCCAUGGGCAGGUUGAAGGUUGAGUAACAUCAACUGGAGGACCGAACCGACUAAUGUUGAAAAAUUAGCGGAUGACUUGUGGCUAGGGGUGAAAGGCCAAUCAAACUCGGAGAUAGCUGGUUCUCCCCGAAAGCUAUUUAGGUAGCGCCUCGGACGAAUACUACUGGGGGUAGAGCACUGUUAAGGCUAGGGGGUCAUCCCGACUUACCAACCCUUUGCAAACUCCGAAUACCAGUAAGUACUAUCCGGGAGACACACGGCGGGUGCUAACGUCCGUCGUGGAGAGGGAAACAACCCAGACCGCCAGCUAAGGUCCCAAAUUACAGCUAAGUGGGAAACGAUGUGGGAAGGCUUAGACAGCUAGGAUGUUGGCUUAGAAGCAGCCAUCAUUUAAAGAAAGCGUAAUAGCUCACUAGUCGAGUCGGCCUGCGCGGAAGAUGUAACGGGGCUAAGUUGUAAA
rnacentral:rRNA from 1 species